AAUACUGCUCAUCUUUUUCCUGCCCUUAGGGAACUCCGGGGAACGUGUUCUACUUAAAUUGCCUCUCACUUUCAGGUGUGUCUUCACAUGCCCUGUUUGCUGCCUGCGCCUCUGGACACAGAUCUCAGAUCCUGAGAAAGAUGGAGAACUUUGAACUCACUGUACAUCAAACUCACACCACUUGGAAGUUGCAGUGUCUCAAAAACCGUGCUGUUCGACAAGUGACGGCGGGCUCCGUCAAGAAGGGUUCUUGGUGUGCUAGAGAGAUCAUGAGAAGCCAGUGUACCUGGAACGGAGUAGAAGUGAAGGCAAAGAAGUAGCCCUGGUCACCCUGUGUAGGGCCUGAGGACCUGUGCUGUUGUAGUAUUUUCCAGGGAAAGCAAAAGUGCUUCAUCUGUGACUCCCGAUUUCCAUACAACCCUUACACCCAACCCGACAGCCAC
rnacentral:lncRNA from 1 species